rnacentral:tRNA from 2 species
AAGGCCUUAAGUUAAACAAACUAAUAACCUUCAAAGCUAUCAAUAAAGGGUUACCUUUAGGCCUUG